AAUAGAUACCCGGGUAGUCCACCCCGUAAACGUUGGGAACUAGUUGUGGGGUCCUUUCCACGGAUUCCGUGACGCAGCUAACGCAUUAAGUUCCCCGCCUGGGGAGUACGGCCGCAAGGCUAAAACUCAAAGGAAUUGACGGGGACCCGCACAAGCGGCGGAGCAUGCGGAUUAAUUCGAUGCAACGCGAAGAACCUUACCAAGGCUUGACAUACACCGGAAACGGCCAGAGAUGGUCGCCCCGCAAGGUCGGUGUACAGGUGGUGCAUGGUUGUCGUCAGCUCGUGUCGUGAGAUGUUGGGUUAAGUCCCGCAACGAGCGCAACCCUCGUUCUAUGUUGCCAGCACGUAAUGGUGGGAACUCAUGGGAUACUGCCGGGGUCAACUCGGAGGAAGGUGGGGAUGACGUCAAAUCAUCAUGCCCCUUAUGUCUUGGGCUUCACGCAUGCUACAAUGGCCGGUACAAAGGGCUGCAAUACCGUGAGGUGGAGCGAAUCCCAAAAGCCGGUCCCAGUUCGGAUUGAGGUCUGCAACUCGACCUCA
rnacentral:rRNA from 1 species